CUGGAUGUGAUGAUGAACUUGAAGUUUGAUCUCCAAAAUGAUGGGUUUUGUAUUUGUACUGUCUGAUCCAG